rnacentral:sRNA from 1 species
UGAUAGUGAAUAAAAAGACAAACAAAGAAGUGAAAUUAGCGGCUCAGUGUGUGGACAGAGUCGCAGUAUUGAUUGAAAAAUUAGAUAAAUCUCCCAAACCUAAGCAAACCAUGAAAUCCUUCACAGACUCAGUCAAGUCCAUCCUAAAAGAGCAACCUUUGAAAGCUUUCAGAUCAACCAAGCAAACAUCAAUAAAGUCUGGAUUUUCAAAUAAUUUGGUUCCUUCUCUACCACCUGAAAAUAAUCCUUAU